rnacentral:rRNA from 1 species
UACGUAGGGUGCAAGCGUUAAUCGGAAUUACUGGGCGUAAAGCGUGCGCAGGCGGUUGUGCAAGACAGAUGUGAAAUCCCCGGGCUCAACCUGGGAACUGCAUUUGUGUCUGCACGGCUGGAGUGCGGCAGAGGGGGAUGGAAUUCCGCGUGUAGCAGUGAAAUGCGUAGAUAUGCGGAGGAACACCGAUGGCGAAGGCAAUCCCCUGGGCCUGCACUGACGCUCAUGCACGAAAGCGUGGGGAGCAAACAGG